rnacentral:rRNA from 1 species
GAUGAACGCUAGCGGCAGGCUUAAUACAUGCAAGUCGAGGGACAGCACAGGUAGCAAUACUGGGUGGUAACCGGCAAACGGGUGCGGAACACGUACACAACCUUCCUUUAAGUGGGGGAUAGCCCAGAGAAAUUUGGAUUAAUACCCCGUAAUAUAGUUGAAUGGCAUCAUUUGAUUAUUAUAGCUACGGCGCUUAAUGAUGGGUGUGCGGCUGAUUAGAUAGUUGGCGGGGUAACGGCCCACCAAGUCUACGAGCAGUAGCUGAUGUGAGAGCAUGAUCAGCCACACGGGCACUGAGACAAGGGCCCGACUCCUACGGGAGGCAGCAGUAAGGAAUAUUGGUCAAUGGACGCAAGUCUGAACCAGCCAUGCCGCGUGAAGGAUUAAGGUCCUCUGGAUUGUAAACUUCUUUUAUUUGGGACGAAAAAGGGCCUUUCUAGGUCAACUGACGGUACCAGAUGAAUAAGCACCGGCUAACUCCGUGCCAGCCGCCGCAGUAACAC